rnacentral:rRNA from 1 species
UACGUAGGGGGCAAGCGUUGUCCGGAAUCAUUGGGCGUAAAGAGCGUGUAGGCGGCCAGAAAAGUCCGCUGUGAAAACUCGAGGCUCAACCUCGAUCUGUCGGUGGAAACCGUGAAGCUAGAGUCCGGAAGAGGAGAGUGGAAUUCCCGGUGUAGCGGUGAAAUGCGCAGAUAUCAGGAAGAACACCCGUGGCGAAGGCGGCUCUCUGGGACGGUACUGACGCUGAGACGCGAAAGCGUGGGGAGCGAACAGG